rnacentral:lncRNA from 1 species
AGGCCUCUCCUGCCUCCCUCUGCUCCACCGCAUGGGCCGGGGACAUUCUUCAGGACCUCACCUCCCUGCAGGACAGGCCUUCCUGAAGCUCUCGGGUAAAUAUUUACACCUUGAGGGUGUCCUGGGGAAUGCUGUUACCCUCCUUUAAGCGAGCAGCUUUCACCAAAGGCAAAAGGGUUCCCUGAACCUCUCCCUUCCUCCCCCUCCUCUCUACCGCCUUGGCCUAGAGCAGGGAGCCGGCCAGCAGGAGCCGAGGGAUCUCAUUAGCUGCCUGUGCGAGGCUGUGGGGCCUACGAGGUCCCAUUCCCGUCCACGCAGUCCUCAUAAGGACCUUAAGGCAUUGGUGCUACGACUCCUUCUGAGCUCAGAGAAGCUGGACAACUUGGCCAAAGCAGCACAGCUAGUCAUGACAGAGACAUAACUUGAACUCAGGUCUGCUGGUGGCACUUGAAUGGAUGUUCUUUCUUUGGAAACCAGGUGGGGGCCCGCUUCAGAGAGAGGCCGGACAGACCGCGGCUGCCCGCAGGACAGUGAGACUGAGGAAGCGUGCACAAUUCAUGAGCGGGUAUUGGGUGGAUAAGGAGACACCCGUCAGAGGCUCUGGGUUCUUCUAUCAGCGUGGGCAGUCUGCCCACCCCUCUCAUAUUCCGGAGGGGAGCACUAGCCACUCUCCCCGGACGGCGCCUCAUUCCGGGGCUUCGGAUGUGGGAGGGAGAGGACAUGCUAGCGGAUCUGGGGAGCUGGGGCUCCCCAGGAAUCUGGUCUCAUAGGAGAGUUUACCCAGUGGCAGCCACAAGCCCUCUGCUGUCAGAAACCAUGGCCCAGGGAGGGGAGCCAGGCCAAGGAAGGCCCAGUAAUUCUCACUCUAAGCAAAGUAUGUCAACCCUGCCGUUUCCUUGUGACCCUGUAAUCCGAUUGUAGAUGCAUCGGACUCCUUUGAGCAAUACGUAUACAAGAGGGGGGUUCAGGUACUCCUUUGGAGCGUGGAAAAUUGGAGUCAGGAAGCCAAAAUGGGAGCACUGUGCCCUCGUCUUGUUCUGUGACUUGGGGGCAGCGAGCCCCCUGUCUCUAAACCUCCGUUUCCUGGUCUGUACAGUGGGGGAGAAAGUAAUGUAACCCGUGGGUAACUGUGUUCCACGUGGUCCAGUCUUGGCUUGGCGACACAUGGAAAGAAUCACAGACUCGCAACCAGGGCGUAAUACAAAGAACUUUAAAUCUUUGCUUUGGCCUUUCUAGGAGAUCCCAAAGUGGGCAGCAGGACUGGGGCCGGAGAGAAGUUUAUUCCUAAUUCAUAGCGAUACUGAGAAGCCCCCCACCCCCACGGUGUCUCAGUAUUCUCCACACACACAGCAGUGGUUUCUUCCCCCACUACUCCCGUCCAGACUCCCCCACACACAGAGCCCAAGCCGCCUAUCAGCAUUUCUCCACCUGGAUUCUAACAUGUUGAUCCAAUAAGUUUCUCCCUUAGGCUUCUUCUCACACCGGGGAGGGUGGGAAGCUGACUGGACCCUCAGAGAACCCCAGGGACCUGGGGGAAGACAAGGAGGGCCCCACAUGCAUGCUGACUUGUCCCUGCUCCUUGUCACAGGCCACGGUGCUAGAGCUGAUAUUUAUGGCGUGGGCACCAGGCACCGUGCAAAUCGAACUCACAACGGCCCUGGGGGGGGGGUGGGGUGGACUGUGAAGGCCCCCGGGGCACGACUGAGGAGUCUGAGACCCUGGGAGGUCACCUUGUCCAAGACCUCACAACUGUAGGUUAGAAGGGCCAAGUUUCAAGGUCAGGCCUUUGGACUGCAGAGCCCAUACUGGUAAGCAUCCUGCCGGGCUGGUAGUUGCCUUCUCAAGGGUAUGGACCACUGAGUCCCACGAAGGGCCCACGAAAGCGUGUUCGGAGGCUUGGACAGCGCUGGGCACACGGAGCGCAAUGAAACUUGACUCACUGACUGCCUAACCAGCCAACCGAGGGAGGUACUUUAUAAAACAUGGCGUGCUUUUUUGGGUGACAUCUUUGAAAAGCCAAACUUUUCUAUGCAAUGUUUUUGACCUUCAAGUGGAGGGACCCAUAGGUAAGGCGUGGGCUCCGAUCUGAUGGGGAAGGCCUGGGUGCCAACCUCUUCAUCUGCACGGAGUUCCCGCAGGUGCUGAGCCCGGCUGCGCACCCCCAGGGGUGCCUCCCCCCAUUAUCUGCAGAAGGCAGACACGUCAGGAGGGCCCCCCCGGGCUCUGAGACCACACGAGGGAGUCCUGUGAGGAGUCCCGACAAGCCUUCUUUGAAGCUGUGUGACUUGGGACAAGUUCCUUAACCUUUCUGAGCCUGCAUUUUGUCUUCUGGAUGUUCGUGCUACCUUGCAAAGUCAUUGCAAGGUUAGGAGCUCCUGAUACAAAAUGUCUAAAACUGGCCGAGGACGAGGACGUGGACGUGGUGGGCAUCUGAGUAAGCCAGGCUUUCUCAGGCUCAGCACUACUGACAUUUGAGGCUGGAUAAUUCUGAUUUUUGUGGGGCCGUCCUGUGCACUGUGGGGUAUUCGACAACAUCCCCGGCCUCUACUCCCUAGGUGCCAGGACCACCUUCCAGUAUGACCACCAAAAAUGUCUCCAGACCUUGACAGAUGUCCCUCAACCCUGUUCGAGAGCCACUGGAACAAUCAAAGCUAUUUUUUCCCUUAAUUUGAAGAUCUAAUUGGCUUUAUUAAACAAUUCAUGAAUCAGGCAGCCUCCCAUCCAGCAAGGAGAGGGGAGCUCUUGGAAUAAUUGUAGCUAUUGUUAUAAAAAAUAAGAAUGUUUUUUUAAUUUUUCAUUUAUUAUUAUUUUUGAAGUUUUUUUAAUUAAAAAAAUUUUUUAAUGUUUAUUUAUUUAUUUUUUUUUUGAGAGAGAGACAGAGUGGGGGUGUGGCAGAGGCAGAGAGAGAGAGAGAGAGAGAGAAAGAGGGAGACACAGAAUCCGAAGCAGGCUCUGAGCUGUCAGCACAGAGCCCAAUGCAGGGCUCGAACCCACGAACCCUGAGACCAUGACCUGAGCUGAAGUCAGACGCUUAGCCGAGGCGCCCCAAGAAUGAGUUUUUAAAAAGGGCCAUGAUGAGCACAGUCCCAUCCCUGGGAUGCUAGACCCUGCUUGCAAAAUGGUUAGGAACACGUGGAAUGUAGGUGGCAGCUGGAAUGUUCAAUCUGGAGAAGAUGAAACGUGGGAAAAGAACUAAUAUCUAUCUGUCUUCAAACAAAUGAUCACGCCGCCUCCCGGGUGGGAGGAGCCACCGGACUCCCGCUGUGCCCAACGUUCCUCCACCCCCAUGGCCAGCUCGGGCUUCUACUACUCUCCUGGGUGAGGAAAUGAAGGCGGAGGAUUACGCAGCUCAAGGAGGUCCCCGGAACCAGGUUAUUUUGGCGUCCGGUGUGUUUUUCUCUGCCCGGGUGUGUUAAUUUCCUACGGCUGCGGUAACAGACUACCACUCACUUGGUGGAUUAAACAAUACGCGUUUGUUAACGUAGAUUCUGUGGAUCAGAAGUCUCCUGCCGAUGGAGGUCGUUGGGCAGGGCUGUGUUGCCUCCCUCCCUCCAGGGGGCUUUAGGGAGAGUGUUUCCCUGCCCUUCGCAGCUGCCUUGCAUCCCUUGACUCCUGGCCCUUCCCAUCUGCAGAGCCAACAGUGCAGUCACGGCCUUCUCUGCCUCCUUCCCACCCAGAUAAUCCAGGAUAAUCUCCCUGUUUUCAGGUCAGCCAAUUAGCAACCUGAAUUCCACCUGCAAAUUUAAUCCCCCCUUUGUCAUCGAACCACGUAUUUGCUGGUUCCAGGGGUUAGGACUUCUCUGGGGAGCCAUUGUGUGGCCUGCUGCACAGGGAGUCCGAGGGGUAAGAAACUAUCGUGGGCAUGUGCAACUGAGGAGGCUUCUCAGAGGAGGGGCUGACAGAUCCCCCCAUCUGGAGCUGAGGUUCUGCGAGGGGAGCAGGGAGCCCUCAGAGGGUACAGGCGAGAAGAGCCAGAUGCUUGGGAGGCAUUUUGUGCCUGGCUGGGAGUUUCUGAGUCGAUUCUUAGAAGUCAUGGGGAGCCAACGCAGGUUCUUGAGCAAGGUUAGGAUGGAAACACAGCGCAAGGUUUGGAUGGCAGAAGCACCUCUGCAGGUGGGUCCGGGAUGGAGCAAAGUGGAGGGAGAUGCAGGCCGGAGGCCACGUAGGUGGGGGGGGGGGGGGGGGCAAGAGGAGAAGAGGGGUGGCAGGAGGGGACAAGUGGAGGACACUGAGGCCUCCCGCUGUAAAGGGACAGAGCGAGGGCUUGGCAGUUUGGACGCACAGUUCAGUCCCUUCCUGGCUGCGUGCAUGGGGCACUCCGAGCUUUACUUUUCCAAACCUCAGGGUCCUUCCGGAAACGGACACGGCGGGCUUGUGGGCGCAGUCCCACUUGCACGCAGCAGCCCGUCUCUUCUUCCCUGCUGAAUAACAGUCCCCGUGCUCACGUGGCACAGGCAUCUUCACGUGCCUGGGCACCUGCACUCUGCUCUCUGCGCCCAGGAUGUCACUGAGCGUGGGCGCCCGGGGGGGGGGGUGCGGGGUGCAGGCAGGAGCACGGGGCGGGUCUCGGGUGGUGCAGGUGACAGCGCCUGUCCCAGGAACCCCCGGGGGGGGGGCUCAGACCGUCACUCCCCAGCUUCCUCAUCCCUUGUUUUAGCGCCCCUCCCACCCCCUGUGGGGCUCCUUCCAACUCUGGUCACCAGCGUGCUGAUGCCCAAAACUGAGGGGCCUUUUAGUCACAGGGGUCAACCAGUUGUCUUCACCGGGCUGGAGCAAGACUCUGCCAUUUGCAAGAGCCCUGAGAAAACAGGAGGUUAGGAAAGGAGGGGAGGGGAGGGGAAGGAGGGGGAGGGAAGGGGGAGGCAGGGAGGGCAAGAAGACACGAGAAAGUUCCUUGUGUGGUGUGCGCCCCUUGCAGAUGCGUCAGAAAGGAAGGAAGGGUACUUGCUGGCCAGGCCUCUGUAUUUUGAAGGUGGUCUGACAGCUUCUUUGCUCCAGGGCUGCCAAAGGCAGUUUGCCACAGAAGGCGGUUGCCCUGAAGGCCUUGUUGUCUGAAGGUCUAGGUCGCGAAGGGACUGAGCGGGACUGCCCCGUGGGGGUGUGGGCUAUGUUGGUGUCUCCGGGGUUGAGGGGAGGCCUCGACUCCAGGACAGGCAGGAGGGCAGAGGGGCCCUGGGCCCAGUGGCCUUGGGCACCACCAAGGGUGAGGGGCUGGGAAGGGGUCGGCUGGGGCUUAGGGCCGUCUAGGCCAGAGCUGGUCCUCGUGUGGCAGGGAUCGAAGGUGUUGGUGGAGGGACCCGCUGUCCUGUACAAGGCCGCCCCGCUAGUCUGCUGGGGCGCUGUCUCCACAACCCCACACACGGGGUGGCUAACACAUCAGAAAUGACUCACGGCUCUGGAGGCUGGAAGCCUAAAACCAAGGUGUCUGCAGAGUUGUUCUCUCCUGGCCGGUAGAUGGCCGUCUUCCCCCUGUGUCCUCACGUGGUCUUUUCUCUGUGCACGUCUGCGUCCACGUCUCCUCUUCGUAGAGGGACACCAGUCAGACUGGACCAGGGCUCCCCCCUGAAGACCUCAUUCCAACCUGAAUUACCUCUUGAAAGGCCCCAUCUCCAAAUAUGGCCACAUUCUGAGGUACUGGGGUGAGGACUUCAAUGCACGAAUUUUGGGGGGACGAAAUUCAGCCCACGGUAGCUGUGUGUGGCCGGAGCCACUUCUGUUUCCUUGGCGACCAGGUAACCUUGUUCUCGUGGGAUCCAUGGGAAGGAGAAGGAAUUAAAGAUGGCGACACUAUGAACUUCCGGCCAGUCUUGGGGGCGGGGGGAGCUGGAUUUAAUCCCAUUUGCUUAUCACUAUUUUCUGUCUGAAUAGAUUAUAUGGGCACCUGGAACAGAAUUCUCAGGGCCCACUGGUGUUCAGAGGAAAGUUCUCCUCCUUCCCACACCAGCGCCCCAGGCCUCCUCGUGUCCCUGGCCACCACCGGGUUGCCCUCCUCAGAAGUACUGCCCACUGUGACCAGGUCUUGGGUCUCUGUCCCAGUCCCUGCCUAACGCACACGCAUCCACUUAGAUCCCAGCUGCUCCACACUGGCUGCCCAGAAUCUCUUGGGGACCCCACAUCAAUGAGACCAGUCUCUGGGGGCAGGCCCAGCACCUGUCCCAGAUGCCUCCCGCUGAUUCCUGAGCGGGCACGGAGGAGAAACACAGCUCUGUCUGCACCUCGACUCUCUGGGCACCUUAUGGUCCAUCUGGAAUGAGAAGAGGAAGGAAGGCAAGAUGGUGGCCCUGCCUGGGUUCCAGAUCCUCUCGCGUACCCUCUAGUUUCCUUUUUGUGACACCCCUGCUAGGCGGCAUCCUUGUCACCCCCAUUUUACAGGUGAGGAAGGUCACACUCAGAGGGUCCACACAGCUGUCCAGGGUCCUCCAGAUGCGGGGCGGGGAUCAGGAUCUUGGUUGGGGAGGGGGGGGGGUCCCUGCGCUGAUGUCUUCCUUCCCAGGGCAGAGCUGAGGGAAGGAUAAUCCCGAAGCCGCUGCAGGGACCUGGGAUGUAGUGAGACUGAGCUGGCUGAUGGAGAGGAAGGGUGCUGGGAGUCAGGCCCAUCACUGCCUUUGGGGACUCAGGGAGCCCAUUGCCUCAUUUGCCUUUCCUUUGAUCAAGUUCUUCCCUCCACCUCCAGCUCUAGUUUUGCUGCCCCCUCCCUCCCCGCUUUCUCUUCCUCCUGAGGAACAGCUCUCUGCUUUCACAGACCUUUAUUCCAGCUGCUCUGCCCCCACCCCCCUCCCUUAUCCCAGCUUCCCCCAACUCCUCUUACCUUUAUCCUCUGUCGGUUCUGUUCUUUAGUCUGUGUUGUCCUUGUCUGGGGAGCUUGGGGACUGACUCACCAAUCACAGGGAUCAAGGUCCCUCACAGGACCAGUGGAGGAGAUAUCAUAAGCUGUCAACCCUAAACAGCAGGUGGAGAGGAGGCGAGUGAUGUCCCUGAGCCCCCAGCUCCAGCCUUUACUAGGCAUCAUUUGUCCAGUCUACCCAUCCACUCAUCCACCCAUUCACCUACUUAUUUACCCAUCCAUUCACCCACCCACAUGUCCAUCCACCCACCCACCCAUCCAUCCAUGCAUCCUCCUAUCUAUCCAUCCACCCAUUCAUUUACCCACUCACCUACCAACCCAUCUACCUACCACACACCCAUCCACCUACCCACCCACACACUCAUUCAUCUACCCAUCCACUCAUCCACUUGUCUGUCUAUCCAUCCAGCCAUUCAUCUAUCCAACCAUCCAUCCAUCCAUCCAUCCAUCCAUCCAUUCACCCACCUAUCCAUCCAUCCAUCCAUCCAUCCAUCCAUCCAUCCAUUCACCCACCUAUCCAUCCAUACAUCCAUCCAUCCAUCCAACCAUCCGUCCAUCCGUCCAACCAUCCAUUCGUGCAUCCAUCCGUCCGUCCGUCCGUCUGUCCAUCCAACCAUCCAUCCAUCCAUCCAUCCAACCAUCCAACCAUCCAUCCAUCCAUCCAUCCACCCAUCCAACCAUCCAUCCAUCCGUCCACACAUCCAUCUGUCCAUUUGUCCAUCCGUCCAUCCGUCCAUCCAACCAUCCAUCCAUCCAUCCAUCCAACCAUCCAUCCAUUCACCCACCUAUCCAUCCAUCCAGCCAGCCAGCCAGCCAGCCACCCAUCCUCACUUGCCCUAUAGAAACAGCCCCGAACAAGAGAAACACAGACCCUCUCCUCAUCCAUCUGGAAGAUGGCCAUUAAAUAAUGGCAUUAAACAAAAUGCUGCAGGACAACACUGCACUCUGGAGAAGGUAGACUUUUGUAAUGAUGCUCAUGGUCAAGGAGAAGACAGACUAUUUUAGCACAAUAAGAUACAAGUGAUAGAGCAGCAAGUCUGGCUGUCUUACGGGGAGACCACCCCGGGAGCUGAUGUUCGUGCUGGCCUCGCCCCCUCCCCUUCCUCAGCUGUAGGGUCUGAAGUCUCCCAGCCCUCCCCUCCCCCACCCAUCCAGCGGCAGAAGAGAUGGACGGACAGACAGAGCGCCGAGGAGGAGUUCCAAGGAGGGGAUGCUGGGUGGUCGUGCAGGAGGUGAUACACAGGGUCUAGCUCUGAGGCCUUGCCUUUUUGAUGCCAGUAAGUUGACAAGACAGGAACAGCCCCCACUCCGUAUAGGGGGGGAUCUGUCACUGGGGCUUACAGAGUGUGUGAACACCCUCUGGGGUUCUGCUGCAUUUGGACCGUGUUGUUUUGGCCUGUGCCUUCCUCCCCUUGCAUAGCAAUGAAAGUGCUGGUCAGGACACCCUGGCUAACUCUUCUGGAAAGUGUGCCUGUGCCAGGCGCUGCUGUGUGUGCACAUCCACUCAUCAGAGGCUCACAGCAGCCUGCGAGGGUGGUGCUACCCUUGUCACCUAAACACCUGAGGCCCCAGGCACGGAGGGGCGAGGUGACUUCCCACAGUCCCCGUGCUGAGGCUGAACAAGAGAGAUGCUUCCAGAGGGGACUUACACCGGAGGAGCCGUCGGACGGCGUUGUCCAGAGGUGGCUGUGUGGCACCCUGUCACGGGACUGUGCUGAGGACUGUCCCACCCGGCCAGCUCAGCUCUGAGCAGGAGGUGCCUGGGGCCGGGGGACACCGCCAAGGACAGUGACAGCUCUGUAGGGGAGAGGGGCGAGGUGGGGGCUGAACCCUGUCGGGAGGGAAAAGGGAAAGGCGGCCAAGGGCCAGACCGCGGGGCCCGUCUCCCACGUUCAAGCUCUAGGGAUUUUUCUCCUUUAAAAAUCACACAUCUACCUAUUUGUUUAUAUUCACAGAUAUGAAUUUUAGUCAGGGUUCGCGAGGUGUAAUCUGCUUACUGUAAAGGCCAGGCUCUGUCGUGCACAGCACUGAGGGUUUUGACAAGCACGCCCCGUUGUGUUACCACCAUAACUGAGCCGCGGAACAUCACCCCCAGAUUCUGUAAUCUCGGCCUCCGAGCGUCUCCGAGUGCCGAAUUUAACGUGGGCUGCCCACCCUUGGCAGAGGGAACGCCGAGUCAGGCUGCGUGUCUCUGAGCUGUGGGCGCCGGGUGAGGAAGCGAACAUUCCAGGCCAGAGGCCGGGGGCGUCCUUCCCAGGUGACCUUCCCGCUGCCUGGGGACGCGGGGCCGGCAGCCUCCACGGGGACCUUAGGCUGGGCUGGCGUCCACGCGUUCCUGGCCCUGCUCUUGCUGCCUCUUUGAACAGGCAUGUAGGGAUACUCUGCAGAUCCAAGCAUGGCCCUGGGGUGCCGAGCAACCGUGCCAGCUCGGGAACCCUGCGUCCUGCCCCGUACAGGGGCCCAGGGGCUGCCUGACGAAUACCAUUUGUGAAGGACCCGGGCGGUGAGAAGGUGGCUCGAGUCACUCUGCUUUGAAGAGCCCUGCCAGGCCGUCCUGACUCCAGCCAUGGGGCCUGGCUGCACGCUCCUGCUAGAGUCGUGUCUUUGCACCGGAGAGUUCAGGGUCAAGGCCCUCGGUAGACUGGCUGCAUAUGCGACAAGCAGGUGCUGGACGCUGGGGCCAGAACUCCCUGGGUUCAAAUCCUUUCUCUACCACUGACAGGCUCUGUGGCAUUGGGAAAAUUGCUUAACCUCUCUGGGCCUCAGUUGUCGCAUCUGUAAAUGAGGGCUAAGUCUUUUGGUGCUCCCUUCCCUCCCUCCUCCAGACCGCAUUUUAUAUGCUGAGUUGGAAAAUAUCUGCAUUGGAAUCUUGGUUCCACCGUCCACUUUUAUGUGGUAUUGGGCAAACCCCCAGGCCAUGCUGUGCCUCCACAGAUUAAAAAAAAAGCCAAUUAUACUCUGCCCCCCAAUGAUUAUUAUAAGAUAUAUCUUGAUUUCAAAGAUGUCACAAUGUGAAAAUACGGUGUAUCUUAGAAUUGCUAAUCAUUGCUAUCCGGAGCGCUUGCUUUUCAGCCUGUAUUUUGUCGCCUCGUGGUCUCAGAACCACUGCCAAGCAUCAGGUCCUCACAUCAUUAUCCCCAUAAGGAAGGGUGAAAAGGGCCAGCCAGCAGUGGCGGGGUGGGGGGUGGGGAGGACACAAGAUCUUUUCUAGAAAGUGCUCAGCAGACCUGUUCUUGCCUACCGUCAGCCAGAAGUGGGUCAUACGGAUACGGCCGGGAAAGGGAGCCGGGAAGGGAUCCGGCCAAGGGGAACGGGUGGCCUACAGCAAUCCUCUGCAGCCCUAUUUUGGGUAUUCUGAUGCUCCAUCCUGCACGGGGGCUCUGUUAGCAGGCCAAAGUCAGUCGUCGUUGGGCAGGCAAAUCCCAGACGCAGCCACAGAUGGGACCUUCGAACUCGGCUAACACCACUUCCCACCCGGCCCUUUGACCUAUUUAUUUUCCCAGCAUCCUUAAUAGCCGGUCAUCCAGCCUCAACUCAAACCCCUCUAACACGGGGCCCAGCUUCGCGAGCCAGCUCCCAGCCUUUCCAACCCCGGAACUGUUGAAAUGCUCGUUCACACUGAGCCAAAUGUGCCUCCUCCUGUUAGCUCCGGGCUCUGCCCCUUGGGGGGCCCCCCGGUGCAGGUGGAUUUCUCUUCCCGGUGGGUGCAGGUUUUGAAGACAGAGCUCAUUCUCUCCCACUGCCCCUCUGGUCCCCAUGCACCUUCAGCACCCCCAGCCCUAUCCUUUUCUUUUCCAGAUCCUUCCUGCCUCGAUUCUUGAAGGUAUCAGGGUGCUGUCACGGAGCUUCGAGUCAAGCAAAGCAUUUCCGCCUCUUCUUUCUUGAGAGUUCACUCUUGCCAGGCAGGGUCCUCGAUCCCAGGGAGAGAGCAGUGAAGAAGAGAGACCUUCCUCUGUCUGAGCCCACUGAAGAGCCCCCUGUGCAUGUACCCUCCUCCAGGAAGAUUUCCCUGAUUUCUUAUUAGGCUAGGGUCCCUCCUGUAGGCUUCCGUAGCCCCCCAGGUCCCUCUGCUGUGACACUCAGCCUACUCUUGGCCUCCUUGUCUCCUGAUCUGGA